AUCGGCAGCCAUAUCACCCUGUAGCCCAAGACUGGUUGCCCACUGAAGCUAAGCAGGGUUGAGCUGGUCAGUACCUGGAUGGGAGACCUCCUGGGGAAACUAGGUUGCUGCUGGAA
rnacentral:rRNA from 1 species